UACGUAGGGUGCGAGCGUUAAUCGGAAUUACUGGGCGUACAGGGUGCGUAGGUGGUUUGUUAAGUCAGGUGUGAAAUCCCUGGGCUCAACCUGGGAACUGCAUUUGAUACUGGCAGACUCGAGUCUGGUAGAGGGUAGUGGAAUUCCGCAUGUAGCGGUGAAAUGUGUAGAUAUGCGGAGGAACAUCAGUGGCGAAGGCGGCUACCUGGACCAAGACUGACACUGAGGCGCGAAAGCGUGGGGAUCAAACAGG
rnacentral:rRNA from 1 species